rnacentral:rRNA from 1 species
UACGUAGGGUGCGAGCGUUGUCCGGAUUUAUUGGGCGUAAAGAGCUCGUAGGCGGUUUGUCGCGUCGGACGUGAAAUCUCCACGCUUAACGUGGAGCGUGCGGUCGAUACGGGCAGACUUGAGUUCGGUAGGGGAGACUGGAAUUCCUGGUGUAGCGGUGAAAUGCGCAGAUAUCAGGAAGAACACCCGUGGCUAAGGCGGCUCUCUAGUACGGUACUGACGCUGAGACGCGAAAGCGUGGGGAGCGAUCAGG